rnacentral:rRNA from 1 species
UACAGAGGCCUCGAGCGUUAGGCGGAAUCACUGGGCUUAAAGCGUGUGUAGGUGGAUGCCUAAGUACCUUGUGAAAUCCCACGGCUUAACCGUGGAACUGCUGGGUAUACUGGGUGUCUUGAGCCACUCAGGGGCUACCGGAACAAACGGUGGAGCGGUGAAAUGCGUAGAUAUCGUUUGGAACGCCAAUGGUGAAAACAGGUAGCUGGGGGUGUGCUGACACUGAGACACGAAAGCCAGGGGAGCGAACGGG